rnacentral:rRNA from 1 species
GUCCGCACCGUAAACGAUGGACACUCGCUGCCGGCGAUACACAGUCGGUGGCUUAGCGAAAGCGUUAAGUGUCCCACCUGGGGAGUACGCCGGCAACGGUGAAACUCAAAGGAAUUGACGGGGCCCGCACAAGCGGAGGAACAUGUGGUUUAAUUCGAUGAUACGCGAGGAACCUUUACCCGGGCUUGAACUAUGGUGGACCGUUCCAGAGAUGGAUCUUCCCUUCGGGGCCGCCAUGGAGUGCUGCAUGGUUGUCGU